rnacentral:rRNA from 1 species
AUUGAACGCUGGCGGCAUGCUUUACACAUGCAAGUCGAACGGACUUAGGGGCUUGCUCCUGAGUUAGUGGCGAACGGGUGAGUAAUGCAUCGGAACGUACCGUGUAGUGGGGGAUAACGCAGCGAAAGUUGUGCUAAUACCGCAUACGAUCUACGGAUGAAAGCAGGGGAUCGCAAGACCUUGUGCUAUACGAGCGGCCGAUGUCGGAUUAGCUAGUUGGUGAGGUAAAGGCUCACCAAGGCGACGAUCCGUAGCGGGUCUGAGAGGAUGAUCCGCCACACUGGGACUGAGACACGGCCCAGACUCCUACGGGAGGCAGCAGUGGGGAAUUUUGGACAAUGGGCGCAAGCCUGAUCCAGCCAUGCCGCGUGAGU